rnacentral:rRNA from 1 species
AUUGAACGCUGGCGGCAUGCCUUACACAUGCAAGUCGAACGGCAGCACGGGUGCUUGCACCUGGUGGCGAGUGGCGAACGGGUGAGUAAUACAUCGGAACAUGUCCUGUAGUGGGGGAUAGCCCGGCGAAAGCCGGAUUAAUACCGCAUACGAUCUACGGAUGAAAGCGGGGGACCUUCGGGCCUCGCGCUAUAGGGUUGGCCGAUGGCUGAUUAGCUAGUUGGUGGGGUAAAGGCCUACCAAGGCGACGAUCAGUAGCUGGUCUGAGAGGACGACCAGCCACAACGGGGAUGAGACACGGGCCAGACCCCCACGGGAGGGAGGAGUGGGGAAUUUUUGGCAAGGGGGGAAAGCCUUACCCAGCAAAGCCGGGGGUGGGAAGAAGGGCCUUGGGUUUUAAAAGCAUUUUUUUCGGGAAAAAAACCCUUGGCCCUAAACAGGCGGGGGGAGAAGGGAACCGAAAAAAAAAGCACGGGUAACUUCGUG